GAUCCUGGCUCAGGAUGAACGCUAGCUACAGGCUUAACACAUGCAAGUCGAGGGGCAGCAUGGUCUUAGCUUGCUAAGGCCGAUGGCGACCGGCGCACGGGUGAGUAACACGUAUCCAACCUGCCGUCUACUCUUGGACAGCCUUCUGAAAGGAAGAUUAAUACCAAGAUGGCAUCAUGAGUUCACAUGUUCACAUGAUUAAAAGGUAUUCCGGUAGACGAUGGGG
rnacentral:rRNA from 1 species